rnacentral:lncRNA from 1 species
CCCACCUCGGCUCCCCAAAGUGCUGGGAUUACAGGCGUGAGCCACUGCACCCGGCCUCAACAGGCUAUGUUUUAAAUGGAGUAAUCCAAUGAUAAGAGGGGAGAAAAAAAAGGGAAAAAAACCAACCAACCAACGAACUGAGCCUGAAACUGGUAACACAGAUACGUACAGCAUCAUAUUUAAGUAACCAAUCGGAAUUAUUGCAGUGGAGAUGUUUUAUUGGAACCAACUUCUUCAAAGGAGUCAGGAAUUAUUUAUGAUAGAAACUACUGAAACAAUACUAAGGAGUUCAUAGGUUGCUGAGAAGGUAGCUUCCUGCCCUCUGCUUGAGGAACACGGAUGGAAGAAAGGAGAAGAUUUGGUCAACACAGCUCCUGAAAUGCUGAUUAAGCAUUAUGGGAUUUAAGGUUUCCUGGCCAAGUCUGAGCUAAAAUGUUAACACUCCUGAAGAACCCCAUAAAGAAAGAAAAACAAAAACAAAAAAAAAUCUCUCGUUUUUUUGCUUCUCAGUCAAUCUUCA